GGUUGACCUCGGAUUAGGUAGGAAUACCCGCUGAACUUAAGCAUACAAA
rnacentral:rRNA from 1 species